CCUACGGGUGGCAGCAGUGGGGAAUAUUGGACAAUGGGCGAAAGCCUGAUCCAGCCAUGCCGCGUGUGUGAAGAAGGCCUUCGGGUUGUAAAGCACUUUCAGUGGGGAAGAAAGCCUUGGGGCUAAUACCCUCGAGGAAGGACAUCACCCACAGAAGAAGCACCGGCUAACUCCGUGCCAGCAGCCGCGGUAAUACGGAGGGUGCGAGCGUUAAUCGGAAUUACUGGGCGUAAAGCGCGCGUAGGCGGUCUGAUAAGCCGGUUGUGAAAGCCCCGGGCUCAACCUGGGAACGGCAUCCGGGACUGUCAGGCUAGAGUGCAGGAGAGGAAGGUAGAAUUCCCGGUGUAGCGGUGAAAUGCGUAGAGAUCGGGAGGAAUACCAGUGGCGAAGGCGGCCUUCUGGACUGACACUGACGCUGAGGUGCGAAAGCGUGGGUAGCAAACAGGAUUAGAUACCCGGGUAGUC
rnacentral:rRNA from 1 species